CUGUCGAAUUUUUCAAAAUGGCGCUGACGAUGAGUGGGAAAUCAUUGUGCGAAAUAACUCGUUUAGUGUUAAUAAUACGUGCAUUUUACGGUUGAUAAAUGAUCGGAUAAAUCAAAAGAAAGAUAUCAACUUGAUGUUUGGCAUGCAUGUGUAUCUCAUGGAGCUGCACAUUUUGAGUGAUGAAAGGUCAAGGUCAUCCUUCAAGGUCAAAGGUCAAAUGUAUUUCUUCAAACGGUCGCAGAAAGGGGCAUUAUGUUUCUGACAAACACAUCUCUUGUUCAUUGUUGAAUUGAGCAGUGAAAGGAAUUAACAGGAGACAGAGAGAAGUAAGGACAUGUUUAUGGACAUGCUGGCCUCACCCUAUUCCCAGUAUGCAGAGUAAAUCAGCACCACAGCCAGCAAGGAUGGAUUUCCUCUCAGGGUAAAUAUGGAUUAAUUGCAUGUGCUUAAAGUGUCAUCCUGUGCAGUAUGCACAGGCUUAUCUUUGCCGUCACAUUCUGGCUAGACUGCAUUUUUGUAUUGAAGAGACUUCUUUGAAUCGAAAAUUCCAUAAGCCAAAGUUGUGUCCCUGAUUAGCCUGUACUCUAGACUCAAUGGAAUUAACGGAAUUUCCACUUUGACAUGCUGUCAUUAAUUACCACAAUAUUUGCAUCCUUUUCUGCAGAAACAUUAUACAAUGCUAUCAUGACUAUGUUAAAAGUUGUUUUGUACAGAUGUACAGAUGUACAUAUUAAUGUCUUCCCUAUAAACAUUGGCAUAUUUGCAUACACUGUUUAUUUGAUGCAAAAUUCAUAUAAAUAAGGGUAUAAGAUUAGUAACAAAAAAAUAAGUUUAUUAUUGUAAAAAUGAAAAAAAUGCAAGAUUUAUAGUUUAAGAUUUGCUAAAGAAAGUGAAAGUGUUACGUUGAAGAUUAAACAAGAUUGAAAUAUGCGUGAAUAUUAUUUGAAGAAGGGUAAAAAAAGUGUAACAUUCAUAACAUUAUGUGGUUGUUUACAAAGAAACAGUGCUGAACAAAAUGGGACUUUGAUAAGGAAGAAAGCAAAUUGUGAUGCAUGAUUCUAAAAUGUCAAUCAAUGCAUGAUUACAAAAUGUCACAUCCAAUUUCCUUGGAUUUUGUGUAAUCUCAUUCAUACAGCACUCUUGGUCUUGAACUUGCUGCAUUUUUGGCAUUAUCCACAAUUAAUGCAAGCAUUGUCAUUGGCGUUGAGUUUGAAAUGUAACUGGUUUGAGGCAAGAACAUUAUGACCAUUUGUCCAUUUUCAAAGAAAUGUAAGUUUCUUUGAAGGUAUAAAAACAAAUGGAAAACUGAAAUUGUUAACAGGAUUUGUUUAUUAGGCCAAACAAAAAAAUAGUCUUGGUUCAGGGAACAUGGCCAGAAAAAUG